AGAUUAAGUUAUUAAGGGCGCACGGUGGAUGCCUUGGCACUAGAAGCCGAUGAAGGACGUUACUAACGACGAUAUGCUUUGGGGAGCUGUAAGUAAGCUUUGAUCCAGAGAUUUCCGAAUGGGGAAACCCAGCAUGAGUUAUGUCAUGUUAUCGAUAUGUGAAUACAUAGCAUAUCAGAA
rnacentral:rRNA from 1 species